rnacentral:misc_RNA from 1 species
GUCAUGGGUUGGGUGUCGUGCUCAUGCAAGAAGGUGGAUCAGUUGCCUAUUUUAGUAAGGCUCUCUCUGCUAAAUCAUUAGCCAAAUAGGCAUAUACUAAAGAAAUGAUGGCCUUAGCUCUAGCCAUUAAGCACAGGAACCUUAUCUUAUGGGGCACCAAUUCAUUGUUCAAACAGACCAACGUAGCUUGAAGCACCUUUUCAGUCAACAAAUCACAAUGUUGGGUCAACAACAUUGGGUGGCGAAACUAUUGGGCCAUGAUUUCCAAAUUUUGUAUAAGCUAGGCAUUACUAACAAAGCUGCUGAUGCCUUGUCUCAUAUGGAUGAGUUGGACUACAAUGUUAUUGCUCGGCUUACUUAGGUGGAUUUCACUAAGCUGGAUGACAAAGUAGCUUAGGAUUCCAAAGUAGCUUAGGAUUCUUAUGUACAGAGCAUUAUUACUGAUCUUAUAGCCAACGAAGACUCCCACCCUUCACUCUUAUUCAG